GCUACGGGAGGCUGCAGUGAGGAAUAUUGGUCAAUGGACGCAAGUCUGAACCAGCCAUGCCGCGUGCAGGAAGAAGGCUCUAUGAGUUGUAAACUGCUUUUGUACGAGGGUAAACUCAGAUACGCGUAUCUGUCUGAGGGUAUCGUACGAAUAAGCAUCGGCUAACUCCGUGCCAGCAGCCGCGGUAAUACGGAGGAUUCAAGCGUUAUCCGGAUUUAUUGGGUUGAAAGGGUGCGUAGGCGGUCGGAUAAGUUAGAGGUGAAAUCCCGAGGCUCAACUUCGGACGUGCCUAUGAUACUGUUUGUCUAGAGAGUAGUUGAGGUAGGCGGAAUGUACGGUGUAGCGGUGAAAUGCUUAGAGAUCGUACAGAACACCGAUUGCGAAGGCAGCUUACCAAGCUCCUUCUGACGUUGAGGCACGAAAGCGUGGGGAGCAAACAGGAUUAGAUACCCUUGUAGUC
rnacentral:rRNA from 1 species